rnacentral:rRNA from 1 species
CCUACGGGGGGCAGCAGUGGGGAAUAUUGGACAAUGGGGGGAACCCUGAUCCAGCCAUGCCGCGUGUGUGAAGAAGGCCCUCGGGUUGGAAAGCACUUUCAGUGAGGAAGAACGCCUGGUGGUUAAUACCCAUCAGGAAAGACAUCACUCACAGAAGAAGCACCGGCUAACUCCGUGCCAGCAGCCGCGGUAAUACGGAGGGUGCGAGCGUUAAUCGGAAUUACUGGGCGUAAAGCGCGCGUAGGUGGCUUGAUAAGCCGGUUGUGAAAGCCCCGGGCUCAACCUGGGAACGGCAUCCGGAACUGUCAAGCUAGAGUGCAGGAGAGGAAGGUAGAAUUCCCGGUGUAGCGGUGAAAUGCGUAGAGAUCGGGAGGAAUACCAGUGGCGAAGGCGGCCUUCUGGAUUGACACUGACACUGAGGUGCGAAAGCGUGGGUAGCAAACAGGAUUAGAUACCCGGGUAGUC